GACGAACGCUGGCGGCGUGCUUAACACAUGCAAGUCGAACGAUGAAGCCGGCGCUUGCUCUGGUGAAUUAGUGGCGAACGGGUGAGUAACACGUGAGUAACCUGCCCUUGACUCUGGGAUAACUGCGGGAAACUGUAGCUAAUACCGGAUACGACCCUCGGAGGCAUCUCCUGGGGGUGGUAAGAAUUUCGGUCAAGUACGGAGUCGCGGCCUAUCAGCUAGUUGGUGAGGUAAAGGCUCACCAAGGCGACGACGGGUAGCCGGCCUGAGAGGGUGACCGGCCACACUGGGACUGAGACACGGCCCAGACUCCUACGGGAGGCAGCAGUGGGGAAUAUUGCACAAUGGGCGCAAGCCUGAUGCAGCAACGCCGCGUGAGGGAUGACGGCCUUCGGGUUGUAAACCUCUUUUAGCAGGGAAGAAGCGAAAGUGACGGUACCUGCAGAAAAAGCACCGGCUAACUACGUGCCAGCCGCCGCAGUAA
rnacentral:rRNA from 1 species